CGCUUGCACUGAAUCCAAGCAGUUUACCCCACACACACACACACGCACUCCAAGGGAGCAAUUUCCUCAUUCUGGGAGCCUUUUCCUCCUCACAAAAUCAGACUUUAACACAAUUUUUUUGUUUUUCCCCAGGUUGGGUGCAUGGNAGAAUAAUGAGAAAACCCAGAAUUCCAGAAUAAAGAGAAAAUCCAGAAUAAAGAGAAAAUCCAGAAUUCCAGAAUAAUGAGAAAAUCCAGAAUAAAGAGAAAACCCAGAAUAAUGAGAAAACCCAGAAUUACAGAAUAAUGAGAAAAUCCAGAAUUCCAGAAUAAAGAGAAAACCCAGAAUUCCAGAAUAAUGAGAAAAUCCAGAAUUACAGAAUAAUGAGAAAACCCAGAAUUCCAGAAUAAUUAAAGAUGAGGAUUUCUCAGCUCCUUCACCUUUCCCAGCUGGAGGAGGUGGAGAAAACUCUGAACAUCCAUGAGAAAAAUGAGGAUCUGAGACGGCUCCUGGAAGGGUCUGACAGGAAAAGAGACACAAGUUUGGGUGGGAUCCAUGGAAAACGGAGGAUUUGGCACUGGGAAUUUUGGAUUUCUGGGCAGGGGACAGCAGGAGUGGGACCUUCAUGACCUGGAGGGGCUGGAGCAGCAAAAAUGGAUCUGGGAAGGGUUUGGAGCACCAGGAAUGGAUCUGGAAGGGUUUGGAGGACCAGGAAUGGAUCUGGGAAGGGUUUGGAGUGGUGGGAUUGGAUCUGGAAGGGUUUGGAGGACCAGGAAUGGAUCUGGAAGGGUUUGGAGCACCAGGAUUGGAUCUGGGAAGGGUUUGGAGGACCAGGAAUGGGUCUGGGAAGGGUUUGGAUCACCAGGAAUGGAGCUGGGAAGGGUUUGGAGCACCAGGAAUAGAUCUGGAAGGGUUUGGAUCACCAGGAAUGGAUCUGGGAAGGGUUUGGAGUGAUGGGAUUGGAUCUGGAAGGGUUUGGAGGACCAGGAAUGGAUCUGGGCAGGGUUUGGAGCAGUGAGAAUGGAUCUGGAAGGGUUUGGAGUGGUGGGAUUGGAUCUGGGAAGGGUUUGGAGCACCAAAAAUGGAUCUGGAAGGGGUUUGGAGUGGUGGGAUUGGAUCUGGGAAGGGUUUGGAGCACCAGGAAUGGAUCUGGGAAGGGUUUGGAGUGGUGGGAAGAGAUCUGGAAGGGUUUGGAUCAUGAGGAAUGGAUCUGGGAAGGGUUUGGAGCUCCAAAAAUGGAGCUGGGAAGGGUUUGGAGGACCAGGAAUGGAUCUGGGAAGGGUUUGGACCAUGAGGAAUGGAUCUGGAAGGGUUUGGAGCACCAGGAAUGGAUCUGGAAGGGUUUGGAUCAUCAGGAAUGGAUCUGGAAGGGUUUGGAGCACCAAAAAUGGAGCUGGGGAGGGUUUGGAGCAAGAGGAAUGGAAAUGGGAAGGGUUUGGAGCAGCAGAAAUGGAGCUGGGAAGGGUUUGGAGUGGUGGGAUUGGAUCUGGAAGGG
rnacentral:lncRNA from 1 species